rnacentral:lncRNA from 1 species
AUGGGGGCUAGUGAUGGGCUAAGGGGGCUGUUGCUGAUGGACUUUGGCUGUAUGCCUUCCAGGGCAAUGUGUCCAACUUGGAAAUGGAAUGAACUAAGCAGCUGCGGCCUCACUGUAUUGAGGGUGAGGGUGUGGAAAUCACAAACCCUCCCUUGGGCAAGACCCCCUCUGGCCCAACCUCUGGGGUCUGACAUUUAUUUGGAGAGUUCUAUAUUCAGAGCUGGGGAUCCUGUGGCAUUGGUGGUUGGGGGAAGGGCUGACAUCAAGGACACCUUCCUGGAGGGGGAGUUGUUUCAAGCCAACUGUGAGAGCAGGCAAGUCCUGACUGGAAUUGCAGGGAGGGAGGGUUCCCAAGUGGGCAAAAGCCCCAGACCAGCUCCUUGUUCCUCUCCUCACCCCCUCCAAGUGCCCUGCAGGAUUCCCCCAGCCCUGUGUGCAUCCCGUCCUUCCUCUGGCCCAGGAAUUCAAACUCAUGGAGGAGAUCGAGCUGCUCCAGGAGGCUACAAGUCUGUACACCUUGCAGCCUGUGGAGCACUUUGGGGCCUGGUUCCAGGCUGUGGAGCCCCUGAGCGAGGAGAAGAGCUACAGCCUGUCCUGCCAGCUGGAGCCCUGAUACCAGUGGACCAGAAAGAUUUGACUCCUCUUCAAAGACAAGAAGAACUGCUCAGGGCAGAAAACUAG